CGGCUACAUUAUGUUGAAACACCGGUUCCCGUACAUUCACCAGAGUUAAGCAACGUCGAGCCUAGUAAGUACCUAGAUGGGUGACCGCUUAGGAAUGCCAGCUGCUGUAAG